rnacentral:rRNA from 1 species
AACGAACGCUGGCGGCAUGCCUAACACAUGCAAGUCGAACGAGACCUUCGGGUCUAGUGGCGCACGGGUGCGUAACGCGUGGGAAUCUGCCCUUCGGUUGGGAAUAACUGAGAGAAAUUUCAGCUAAUACCUUAUAAUGUCUUCGGACCAAAGAUUUAUCGCCGAGGGAUGAGCCCGCGUAGGAUUAGGUAGUUGGUGGGGUAAUGGCCUACCAAGCCGACGAUCCUUAGCUGGUCUGAGAGGAUGAUCAGCCACACUGGGACUGAGACACGGCCCAGACUCCUACGGGAGGCAGCAGUGGGGAAUAUUGGACAGUGGGCGAAAGCCUGAUCCAGCAAUGCCGCGUGAAUGAUGAAGGCCUUAGGGUUGUAAAGCUCUUUUACCCGGGAUGAUAAUGACAGUACCGGGAGAAUAAGCUCCGGCUAACUCCGUG